rnacentral:rRNA from 1 species
GACGAACGCUGGCGGCGUGCCUAAUACAUGCAAGUAGGACGCAGUUGCGAACGGGUGAGUAACGCGUAGGUAACUGCCUAUUAGAGGGGGAUAACUAUUGGAAACGAUAGCUAAUACCGCAUACUAGUAGAUGGACCUGCGUUGUAUUAGCUAGUAGGUAGGGUAAUGGGCUACCUAGGCGACGAUACAUAGCCGAGCUGAGAGGGGGAACGGCCACACUGGGACUGGGAGACGGCCCAGACUCCUUGGGGGGGGAGCAGUAGGGAAUCUUCGGAAAUGGGGGGAACCCUGACCGAGCAACGCCGCGGGAGUGAAGAAGGUUUUCGGAUCGUAAAGCUCUGUUGUUAAGGAAGCGGUACUUAACCAGAAAGGGACGGCUAACUACGUGCCAGACGCCGCGGUAAUAC